CACUCCUACGGGAGGCAGCAGUGGGGAAUUUUGGACAAUGGGCGAAAGCCUGAUCCAGCAAUGCCGCGUGAGUGAAGAAGGCCUUCGGGUUGUAAAGCUCUUUUGUCAGGGAAGAAACGGUGAAAGCUAAUAUCUUUUGCUAAUGACGGUACCUGAAGAAUAAGCACCGGCUAACUACGUGCCAGCAGCCGCGGUAAUACGUAGGGUGCAAGCGUUAAUCGGAAUUACUGGGCGUAAAGCGUGCGCAGGCGGUUUUGUAAGUCUGAUGUGAAAUCCCCGGGCUCAACCUGGGAAUUGCAUUGGAGACUGCAAGGCUAGAAUCUGGCAGAGGGGGGUAGAAUUCCACGUGUAGCAGUGAAAUGCGUAGAUAUGUGGAGGAACACCGAUGGCGAAGGCAGCCCCCUGGGUCAAGAUUGACGCUCAUGCACGAAAGCGUGGGGAGCAAACAGGAUUAGAUACCCCUGUAGUCCCA
rnacentral:rRNA from 1 species